rnacentral:rRNA from 1 species
AUUGAACGCUGGCGGCAGGCCUAACACAUGCAAGUCGAACGAGCGGCGGACGGGUUAGUAAUGUCUGGGGAUCUGCCCGAUAGAGGGGGAUAACUACUGGAAACGGUAGCUAAUACCGCAUACCAUCAGAUGUUCCCAUCUGGGAUUAGCUUGUUGGUGGGGUAACGGCUCACCAAGGCGACGAUCUCUAGCUGGUCUGAGAGGAUGACCAGCCACACUGGAACUGAGAAACGGGCCAGACUCCUACGGGAGGCAGCAGUGGGGAAUAUUGCACAAUGGGCGCAAGCCUGAUGCAGCCAUGCCGCGUGUAUGAAGAAGGCCUUCGGGUUGUAAAGUACUUUCAGCGGGGAGGCGUUACCCGCAGAAGAAGCACCGGCUAACUCCGUGCCAGCAGCCGCGGUAAUUC